ACAAUUGUGUGAGUUGAGUACA
rnacentral:miRNA from 1 species